GGAUCGAUGGUGUAGUUGGUUAUCACGUUUGUCUAACACCUCAGUUCUUCGGAUGUGUGGACACAAAAGGUCGGCGGUUCAAGUCCGCCUCGAUUCA
rnacentral:tRNA from 1 species